UACAGAGGUCCCAAGCGUUGUUCGGAUUCACUGGGCGUAAAGGGUGCGUAGGCGGUCGGGUAAGUCUGACGUGAAAUCUCCGGGCCUAACUCGGAAACUGCGUCGGAUACUAUCCGGCUAGAGGAUUGGAAGGGAGACUGGAAUACUUGGUGUAGCAGUGAAAUGCGUAGAUAUCAAGUGGAACACCAGUGGCGAAGGCGAGUCUCUGGACAAUUCCUGACGCUGAGGCACGAAAGCCAGGGGAGCAAACGGG
rnacentral:rRNA from 1 species